UACGUAGGGUGCGAGCGUUAAUCGGAAUACUGGGCGUAAAGCGUGCGCAGGCGGUGAUGUAAGACAGAUGUGAAAUCCCCGGGCUCAACCUGGGACCUGCAUUUGUGACUGCAUCGCUAGAGUACGGUAGAGGGGGAUGGAAUUCCGCGUGUAGCAGUGAAAUGCGUAGAUAUGCGGAGGAACACCGAUGGCGAAGGCAAUCCCCUGGACCUGUACUGACGCUCAUGCACGAAAGCGUGGGGAGCAAACAGG
rnacentral:rRNA from 1 species